GGGGACGUGGCGAAAUUGGUAGCACGCGCAGGUUUCAGAAACCUGUGCCGGAAGGCGUGAGGGUUCGACCCCCUCCGUCCCCACCA
rnacentral:tRNA from 1 species